rnacentral:lncRNA from 1 species
CUCCCCCCAUCCGGCACAGGCGCGGCGGUCUCCCCCUUCUCCGGCACAGGCGCGGCGGUCUCCCCCUUCUCCGGCACAGGCGCGGCGGUCUCCCCCUUCUCCGGCACAGGCGCGGCGGUCUCCCCCCAUCCGGCACAGGCGCGGCGGUCUCCCCCCAUCCGGCACAGGCGCGGCGGUCUCCCCCUUCUCCGGCACAGGCGCGGCGGUCUCCCUCCAUCCGGCACAGGCGCGGCGGUCUCCCUCUUCUCCGGCACAGGCGCGGCGGUCUCCCUCCAUCCGGCACAGGCGCGGCGGUCUCCCUCCAUCCGGCACAGGCGCGGCGGUCUCCCUCUUCUCCGGCACAGGCGCGGCGGUCUCCCUCCAUCCGGCACAGGCGCGGCGGUCUCCCUCCAUCCGGCACAGGCGUGGCGGUCUUCCCCAUCCGGCACAGAAACAGCAGCUCCUGAGUGCUCUGGCAGCCAUGGAGUCUCCUAUACAGUCCAAGAUGCUGCCUCCAUGGCCUCGGCUGGUCCCGGGGGUGAGGAAUGCCACAGGCUGUUACUCCAUUCCCCAAGCCUAACGUUCAGUUCCCCUACAAAAAGGAACAAACAAUUGAGACGCACAGAAGACUCCCAGGCACUUUGAGGGUCGAGCUCCCAGGGACAGUUAACCUGGGUCUUAGAUGUAUCGAGGCAGAAACCACCUGGUCCUGAGUGCCGAUUUGCUGAGCCUGGCCUGUUUUCUCCUGCUUUUGUUCUCUCUCUCGACUCGCUGUCUGCAUCAGUCAUUCUGCAAACACCCCAGGCUUGGAGCCAGGCUCUGCAGGUACGUUCACCAACAAGGCCAGGUCCUCCCGCCCUCACUCAGGUCAGGUUCUGGGUCGGAAAAUGGGCAACAGACGUGUAACGACAAAUGCCGUCCAGCAAACGCUGAGGAUGACCUCACCUUACCCACCGACAGGAAGCUGUGGGAAGUGGGAGAGGGACAUGGGGGCUGGCCGGAGGGAGAUGGCCACAAAAGGGCUCUCUGAAUAUUCGACAUUUAGCAAAUAAAAAAUCUCAUUCUGAAUGAUUAAAAAGUAUGCACUAACUAACAGAAUUCCCAAUUUGUAAACUCUGCCAGAAUGAUGACCUCGGCCAGGUGUGUACCUGACCAUCUGAGUGUCCCUGGUGGGUGACUGCUGCCCUGCCGAGGUCCCUGGGGCACCUGGAUCAGUCCUGGCAUAGCUGGGCACAGGGCCCAGAUGCCCAUAUUUACAAAGGCCAUUCUGGACACUUGCUUCCCUGGCCGGCUGUGUCUGGUUACUGGCAACAUUACACUGCCAACGCCAAAGAGAAGGAGAUUCCUCUCUAUUUGUGACCACUUGACCUCACACAAUUGGGUGUACACAGAAGGAGAGCAGGAGUUUGGCAAACACAAUCACCCUAGAAAAUUCAGGAUUUGAGAUUGCUGUUCUCAUUGGCCACACAGCACCACAAUGGAUCUUUACUCAAAACUAAUGGAAAAUGUAUCCAGGCCUCCUAGGACUCCCAGUGGGUAGAUGCUGUUUUCAAGCUUUGCAGACAGAAGGGCAGAAGGGGUACAAUCAACCAGAGGCCGAGGCCUGAGAGCACCCCAAAAACCCUGCUGACAUCAGCAGAACAGAGGUGGAGGCUCCUCUCUACCAAGACGUUAGAAAGAUGAGAGUAAGAGAAAGUGAUGGAUCAGUGGGAUUGGGCCUUAGAUGCGGCUUUUAGUGAAACGAAAAAAAAGUUAUACCCUCAAGAUAAAAAUACCCAAUGCAAAAAAUCCCAAUUCAUAAAGCAACUAAAUUAUGAACGAACGUAUCAUUUCAGAAGCAUUCCCCACAAGCUUCUGUUAAACUGCAAGCAUCCAAAUGCCUUUAGAACACCUCCAUGUGAAGGAGGCCCUCAGAACACUGGACGUGGUGAAGCUUCGACCCUCUACAGCUGUCACAGGCAAAUUUCUCAAGCACAUUCCUAGGAAUCCCAUCUCGCAGAGGCCUUUCAAAAACCUUGGACUGGGAUGCUUAGUUUGAAGAAUUCAUGAUAAAUGUCAAACUAACUGGCCUAUCAGGCUUUGUUAUCUAAUUGAUCUGCCAGAUCAGGUCAACUGUUCUGACAGAAGUCAGUGUCAUUUUAAAUCCAAAUAAAAGUCUUGAUACGGGUCCCAUGACAACCUUUCAUCUCUAAUUUUGUUCUGGGAGUGAUGGAUGGGUGGAUAUUACUUCCAUAGCUCUGCUCUGUCCUGGGGGACCACCCUCAGGCCCAAGUGGUCACCAACAGCCCUUUGUGGGAGCCUGGGAACGUCUCAGUCCUGGGGCUGCCCACUGCGGCUCUGUGCAGCAUGCCAUUCCUUUGUAAGGGGGAGGAGGGAGACAGGGAAACGGUGCCAGGAAGAACCGGCAGGUCACAGAGCAUUCCC